rnacentral:rRNA from 1 species
UACGUAGGGUGCGAGCGUUAAUCGGAAUUACUGGGCGUAAAGCGUGCGCAGGCGGUUAUGCAAGACAGAUGUGAAAUCCCCGGGCUCAACCUGGGAACUGCAUUUGUGACUGCAUGGCUGGAGUGCGGCAGAGGGGGAUGGAAUUCCGCGUGUAGCAGUGAAAUGCGUAGAUAUGCGGAGGAACACCGAUGGCGAAGGCAAUCCCCUGGCCUGCACUGACGCUCAUGCACGAAGCGUGGGA